rnacentral:rRNA from 1 species
UCCUACGGGGGGCAGCAGUGGGGAAUAUUGCACAAUGGGGGAAACCCUGAUGCAGCAACGCCGCGUGAGUGAUGACGGCCUUCGGGUUGUAAAGCUCUGUCUUCAGGGACGAUAAUGACGGUACCUGAGGAGGAAGCCACGGCUAACUACGUGCCAGCAGCCGCGGUAAUACGUAGGUGGCAAGCGUUGUCCGGAUUUACUGGGCGUAAAGGGAGCGUAGGCGGACUUUUAAGUGGGAUGUGAAAUACCCGGGCUUAACCUGGGUGCUGCAUUCCAAACUGGGAGUCUAGAGUGCAGGAGGGGAAAGUGGAAUUCCUAGUGUAGCGGUGAAAUGCGUAGAGAUUAGGAAGAACACCGGUGGCGAAGGCGACUUUCUGGACUGUAACUGACGCUGAGGCUCGAAAGCGUGGGGAGCGAACAGGAUUAGAUACCCUGGUAGA